GACGAACGCUGGCGGCGUGCUUAACACAUGCAAGUCGAACGGAAAGGCCCUGCUUUUGUGGGGUGCUCGAGUGGCGAACGGGUGAGUAACACGUGAGUAACCUGCCCUUGACUUUGGGAUAACUUCAGGAAACUGGGGCUAAUACCGGAUAGGAGCUCCUGCUGCAUGGUGGGGGUUGGAAAGUUUCGGCGGUUGGGGAUGGACUCGCGGCUUAUCAGCUUGUUGGUGGGGUAGUGGCUUACCAAGGCUUUGACGGGUAGCCGGCCUGAGAGGGUGACCGGCCACAUUGGGACUGAGAUACGGCCCAGACUCCUACGGGAGGCAGCAGUGGGGAAUAUUGCACAAUGGGCGGAAGCCUGAUGCAGCAACGCCGCGUGCGGGAUGACGGCCUUCGGGUUGUAAACCGCUUUCGCCUGUGACGAAGCGUGAGUGACGGUAAUGGGUAAAGAAGCACCGGCUAACUACGUGCCAGCAGCCGCGGUGAUACGUAGGGUGCGAGCGUUGUCCGGAUUUAUUGGGCGUAAAGGGCUCGUAGGUGGUUGAUCGCGUCGGAAGUGUAAUCUUGGGGCUUAACCCUGAGCGUGCUUUCGAUACGGGUUGACUUGAGGAAGGUAGGGGAGAAUGGAAUUCCUGGUGGAGCGGUGGAAUGCGCAGAUAUCAGGAGGAACACCAGUGGCGAAGGCGGUUCUCUGGGCCUUUCCUGACGCUGAGGAGCGAAAGCGUGGGGAGCGAACAGGCUUAGAUACCCUGGUAGUCCACGCUGUAAACGGUGGGUACUAGGUGUGGGGUCCAUUCCACGGGUUCCGUGCCGUAGCUAACGCUUUAAGUACCCCGCCUGGGGAGUACGGCCGCAAGGCUAAAACUCAAAGGAAUUGACGGGGCCCCGCACAAGCGGCGGAGCAUGCGGAUUAAUUCGAUGCAACGCGUAGAACCUUACCUGGGUUUGACAUGGAUCGGGAGUGCUCAGAGAUGGGUGUGCCUCUUUUGGGGUCGGUUCACAGGUGGUGCAUGGCUGUCGUCAGCUCGUGUCGUGAGAUGUUGGGUUAAGUCCCGCAACGAGCGCAACCCUUGUUCACUGUUGCCAGCACGUUAUGGUGGGGACUCAGUGGAGACCGCCGGGGUCAACUCGGAGGAAGGUGGGGAUGACGUCAAGUCAUCAUGCCCCUCAUGUCCAGGGCUUCACGCAUGCUACAAUGGCUGGUACAGAGAGUGGCGAGCCUGUGAGGGUGAGCGAAUCUCGGAAAGCCGGUCUCAGUUCGGAUUGGGGUCUGCAACUCGACCUCAUGAAGUCGGAGUCGCUAGUAAUCGCAGAUCAGCAACGCUGCGGUGAAUACGUUCCCGGGGCU
rnacentral:rRNA from 1 species